GCAUCUGUAGCUCAGUUGGUUAGAGCGCUGCACCGGAAUCGCAGGGCCGUAGGUUCAAUUCCUACCAGAGGAC
rnacentral:tRNA from 1 species